ACCCAAGGUUUCCUCCGCAAGGUUCAUCCACGGAGGGUGAGUCAGGGCCUAAGAUCAGGCCGAAAGGCGUAGUCGAUGGACAAUAGGUGAAUAUUCUUGUACUACCCCUUGUUGGUUCCGAGGGACGGAGGAGGCUAGGUUAGCCGAAAGAUGGUUAUCGGUUUAAGGAUGCAAGCUGCCCCUGCUUUUUCAGGGUAAGAAGGGGUAGAAAAAAUGCCCCAAGCCAAUGUUCGAGUACCAGGCAUUAGACAAAUUUGAUUAUUUUUGUUCAGUUGGAAAUAUAAAUUUUAGUUUGUUUCAUAAUUUAAAUUUGGUUGGU
rfam:Gossypium raimondii Chr07_contig_837, whole genome shotgun sequence.